ACGCACCUCUGGUGUACCGGUUAUGACGCCAGUCGUAUCGCCGGGUAGCUAAGUGCGGAAGAGAUAACCGCUGAAAGCAUCUAAGCGGGAAACUUGCCAUAAGAUUAGAUUUCCCGGGAGUUUAACUCCCCUAAAGGUUCGUUGGAGAUUACAACGUUGAUAGGUCGAGUGUGUAAGCGUAGUAAUGCGUUAAGCUAAUCGAUACUAAUUGGCCGUGAGGCUUGAUCCUAUAAUCUU
rnacentral:rRNA from 1 species